CCGUUUUUAAACUAUAAAUAGCCUGUCUAAACAGCGGUCGGGAGUUCAGUUUGAAGGGACAGACAAGCAAAUUAAGUGCGAGGAGAGCGGAAGAGGGAAUGGGUUCGCCCCAGGUUCGGCUGCCAUAGCCGGGCUGAAGCGUCUCGUCACCCAGUGAAAGCCGCAGCUCCUCUCACAGCAAAAAGUAAAUACAUUAGGAAAGAUAACCACUCACACUCCCGGAACUUGUCAAAUGCUUAGUACGUGACUUCUAAACUGAACCUUGUGGACUUGGCAGGCUCUGAACGGUUGGGGAACACGGUCAACAGGAGCAGGAGAUUGAGGCCAAGAUCUGUCAGAAGUACACGCUGACUGACAGGAGUGACAGUGCUGCCAUUGCUGCGGCUGUGAAGGCAGGACAUCCAGUCGACAUGUUUGGAGAAGUGGACGGGCAAGGAUUUGGGAUCAGGGUGGCUCCUUUGGCAGCUAAACACAGUGGCACCUCUAUAGUAUCUGCAAAGAAGGCAAAAAUGAAGAAGGACAUGAUCAGGGGAGAAAUCCUAGCUUAAGGACUCGUAUGAUCUUUAGUAAUGCUCAGAUAAAAAGACAAAUGUCUAUCUUUUAUAUCUGUUGUGGUUUUACCAAAUUUUUCUUUUGUAUUACAAAAUAACUGGUUUCUCAUUGUUUUUUUUAAAAAAAAAGUUUUGUACAUAAUCUGUUUGGCUAAAUAGACUUGAAACAGGAGAGAUAACGGAAGAUGUUAUAUGUCAAAAACAGAUAACAUAAAACUAAACACACAUCCCUUUAAACUGACUUGAGCUACUGUUGUAUUCUCUCUGCAGCCCUGGUAGGAAGGAUGGACUGGUGAGCCCAGCAGAUGGGAAGGAGCUUGAGAUGGGCUCUCAGUCGAAGAUGUACCAGCUUGUCUCCUCAACGAAGGACCUGGAAAGCAAGGAGCCGAAAGAACACAAUGUGCGCCGCGUCGAGUAGGCAUGCAAGGAAAACACCAGCUGCCCCAAUUCCCAAGUUGGAGGCCUUCGAGGAUUUCAAAUCGGAGCGCGAGAGCGAGAUAAACCGAAUCUUGAAGGAGAACAAGUCGGUUCUGGAGAAGAGGAAGAAAGCCAAAGAGCUCAUGGACAUCAACUACACCAAGCAGGCUUUGCUGGCUAAGAAACAAGACCUGCAGUUGCAGGGCGAGUCAGUCUCUGGGACCACUUGCAAACUGAACUUUGGGACAUGCAUUGUAACAAUGGUAGACUGUAUAAAAUAUAAUUGCUGUAUUUCUCUUACAAGAAUGUAAUUAUUGGUUGUACUAAACCUUUUUUAUAACAAGUAAAACAAGGCUGUCUGUAGAACCAGUGGAUUUUCCCUUAUCUCAGUUUUCUAACAGCCAUAAUUUCCAAGUCAGACUUACUACCAUAUAAUCUCGGCAAUAGGAGCAUGUGCUUGUGUAAUAAUAGUGCGCUUAAAUACGAGAUAAGAAAAUAAGUAAAUAAGUAACUGCAUUAUACUUCUAUUUGUGUAUUUAUAUGGUAAAGUGAAUGAACAGAUCUUGUGUGGGGCUGUUAGAAAACACCAGAGGAGAGCAGUCUCAGGAGUGCCGCAGCACGUGAAUGAGAAAGGUGAGACUGUGAUCGAUGACGAGGAGUUUGAUCUCAUGAAGCUGAAGGAGUUGAAAGCCUAUUGCUCCAGCUACGAUGAGCUGCAGAGCACCAAGGCUGAGGACCAGUACUGCCAAUGCUUGGUGGAACAGUGCAGGAGCAGGCUCCUGACAGGAGGAGGAUGAGCAGGAGAGAUUUGAGCGGCUUCACCAGGAGUUACUGAGCGACAGCCCAGGCUCCAUCUCCUUCCACAACGCACACGAGGACUCAGCAGCACAUGGGUUAUUGCAGGCAUACACUGCCCAGCCACUUUAUUAGCACCUGUAUAAUCCCCCUGAUUUAGUGAUGCAAAUAAGGUUGAUUAUAUCAUGCAAUAUGUGAUCCCUGCAGUACUUUUCAAAUGCCAAAGAUUACUUAAGCAUUGUUUUAUAGAUCAAGUCCACCUAACAAUGCUGCACUUGAUGCAACACGAUAGAUAAUGCAUGCAUCAACAACGCCAGAAUUAUGCACAAAUGGUUCGAGUAUCUCAAUUCAUAUGAGCUGGAAUGACACAAUCGUUCCUAGGCCUACCUCUCUGCACCCAUUGUGUGAAAAAAUAAUGACUCAAUGGGUUAACAUCCCUCGAAACACAUCCCAGUACCUUUUGGAAGCUGCCAUGCCAUGUAUCAACAAACACUAAAGUGUUAAUGCUCACAAAAAAGCAUUUUUUAAUAUUGAGAAAACAUUAACCCUCAUGGGCUCCAAGAAGAAUCCUUGUGUAUAGUUUAUCCAUUUUCAACUUUCAAAAACAAUCUAAAUUUGUAAGUGUAACAGGGCGAGCAGCCCUGUACAUUGUUUAUUUAUUUUUAGAUCGGGGUCUCCCCCUCCGCCCCUGUGCAGAGUAUUGUUUUUGUUUAUUAUGAUUUAUUGUAUUAUUGUAUUUAUGACGGCCUAGCGCCGUGUUGGUGUUUUGUUUAUUUUUAAAACGUGUCCUGGCAGAGGCGAGAUCGGUGCUCGUCCUCUGCCAGGUGUAAUAAUUAAUAAACUCGUGCAGAAGGUGAACCAUCUCCCGAAUUAAUUACGGGAUUAAUUUUGUUGCUAAUUGGGAGAUGGUUCACCUUUAAUAAAAGCCUGCAGCUCUCCAGUUCAGGGUGGGUGUCAGAAGGAGAGUGUGCGAGAGGAGUGACGGAGAAACGAGAGAGAAAGUAAACAUAGGAACAGUGAAGGCAAUCUGCCCAGCCUGACCUGUGUUGCAGUUAUUAUUUUGUGUUCGUGAUUUGUUUUUGUUUACCCUUUUAUUUUUGCUCUGUGAGCGAGUGUUUAUUUUUGUUUAAAUAUUUAUUUUUGGUUGCUUUAAAUAAAACGGCGCCCGCGCCACUGCACAAUA